rnacentral:rRNA from 1 species
GUAGCGUGUCUGACCUGCGGAAGGAUCAUUACCGAGUGCGGGUCCUUUGGGCCCAACCUCCCAUCCGUGUCUAUUGUACCCUGUUGCUUCGGCGGGCCCGCCGCUUGUCGGCCGCCGGGGGGGCGCCUCUGCCCCCCGGGCCCGUGCCCGCCGGAGACCCCAACACGAACACUGUCUGAAAGCGUGCAGUCUGAGUUGAUUGAAUGCAAUCAGUUAAAACUUUCAACAAUGGAUCUCUUGGUUCCGGCAUCGAUGAAGAACGCAGCGAAAUGCGAUAACUAAUGUGAAUUGCAGAAUUCAGUGAAUCAUCGAGUCUUUGAACGCACAUUGCGCCCCCUGGUAUUCCGGGGGGCAUGCCUGUCCGAGCGUCAUUGCUGCCCUCAAGCCCGGCUUGUGUGUUGGGGUCGCCGUCCCCCUCUCCGGGGGGACGGGCCCGAAAGGCAGCGGCGGCACCGCGUCCGAUCCUCGAGCGUAUGGGGCUUUGUCACAUGCUCUGUAGGAUUGGCCGGCGCCUGCCGACGUUUUCCAACCAUUCUUUCCAGGUUGACCUCGGAUCAGGUAGGGA